rnacentral:other from 1 species
UGUAAUUUAGAUUCAGCCUAAAGUUUGGAUUGAGUCGAAAUUGUUUCCCAGUGUCUGUUUUCUGGAGAUUGCAUGUUGUGUUUGCAUAUUGCCCGGUUCCUGUCGGGCGGGUAGCCUUCGAGCUACCGAUUUACUUCCUGUUUUUUUGACCUGUCUGUCAAAACUUUUUGAUGGCACUGCGCCCCAACGCGGUGCCUUUUUUU